rnacentral:rRNA from 1 species
ACAUAUUACCGAAGCUGUGGAUUGUCCUUUGGACAAUGGUAGGAGAGCGUUCUAAGGGCGUCGAAGCAUGAUCGCAAGGACAUGUGGAGCGCUUAGAAGUGAGAAUGCCGGUGUGAGUAGCGAAAGACGGGUGAGAAUCCCGUCCACCGAUUGACUAAGGUUUCCAGAGGAAGGCUCGUCCGCUCUGGGUUAGUCGGGUCCUAAGCUGAGGCCGACAGGCGUAGGCGAUGGAUAACAGGUUGAUAUUCCUGUACCACCUAGUAUCGUUUUAAUCGAUGGGGGGACGCAGUAGGAUAGGCGAAGCGUGCUGUUGGAGUGCACGUCCAAGCAGUAAGGCUGAGUGUUAGGCAAAUCCGGCACUCAUAAGGCUGAGCUGUGAUGGGGAGAGGAAAUUGUUUCCUCGAGUCGUUGAUUUCACACUGCCGAGAAAAGCCUCUAGAUAGAUAACAGGUGCCCGUACCGCAAACCGACACAGGUAGUCAAGAUGAGAAUUCUAAGGUGAGCGAGCGAACUCUCGUUAAGGAACUCGGCAAAAUGACCCCGUAACUUCGGGAGAAGGGGUGCUCUUUAGGGUUCACGCCCAGAAGAGCCGCAGUGAAUAGGCCCAAGCGACUGUUUAUCAAAAACACAGGUCUCUGCUAAACCGUAAGGUGAUGUAUAGGGGCUGACGCCUGCCCGGUGCUGGAAGGUUAAGAGGAGUGGUUAGCUUCUGCGAAGCUACGAAUCGAAGCCCCAGUAAACGGCGGCCGUAACUAUAACGGUCCUAAGGUAGCGAAAUUCCUUGUCGGGUAAGUUCCGACCCGCACGAAAGGCGUAACGAUUUGGGCACUGUCUCAACGAGAGACUCGGUGAAAUCAUAGUACCUGUGAAGAUGCAGGUUACCCGCGACAGGACGGAAAGACCCCGUGGAGCUUUACUGUAGCCUGAUAUUGAAAUUCGGCACAGCUUGUACAGGAUAGGUAGGAGCCUUUGAAACGUGAGCGCUAGCUUACGUGGAGGCGUUGGUGGGAUACUACCCUAGCUGUGUUGGCUUUCUAACCCGCACCACUUAUCGUGGUGGGAGACAGUGUCAGGCGGGCAGUUUGACUGGGGCGGUCGCCUCCUAAAAGGUAACGGAGGCGCUCAAAGGUUCCCUCAGAAUGGUUGGAAAUCAUUCAUAGAGUGUAAAGGCAUAAGGGAGCUUGACUGCGAGACCUACAAGUCGAGCAGGGUCGAAAGACGGACUUAGUGAUCCGGUGGUUCCGCAUGGAAGGGCCAUCGCUCAACGGAUAAAAGCUACCCCGGGGAUAACAGGCUUAUCUCCCCCAAGAGUUCACAUCGACGGGGAGGUUUGGCACCUCGAUGUCGGCUCAUCGCAUCCUGGGGCUGUAGUCGGUCCCAAGGGUUGGGCUGUUCGCCCAUUAAAGCGGUACGCUAGCUGGGUUCAGAACGUCGUGAGACAGUUCGGUCCCUAUCCGUCGUGGGCGUAGGAAAUUUGAGAGGAGCUGUCCUUAGUACGAGAGGACCGGGAUGGACAUACCUCUGGUGUACCAGUUGUCGUGCCAACGGCAUAGCUGGGUAGCUAUGUAUGGACGGGAUAAGUGCUGAAAGCAUCUAAGCAUGAAGCCCCCCUCAAGAUGAGAUUUCCCAACUUCGGUUAUAAGAUCCCUCGAAGAUGACGAGGUUAAUAGGUUCGAGGUGGAAGCGUGGUGACACGUGGAGCUGACGAAUACUAAUCGAUCGAAGACUUAAUCAAUUUUUAAA